GCUGUACAGGGUCCUCUGUAGCAUGGUGCCUUAUUCCAAUGAGGUGUUUUGUCAGAAAAAGAGUAGUGGAAGCAGCCCCAGAGUCACUAUCUGUGUUGUAGAUGGUAUCUGAUCUCAAAGAGAAGAGGGAGAGAGGAAUGAAGCCCGUCAGCAUCCCUUCUUGGAAACACACCUGCCUGCAGUGAGUCUGUCCCACAGCAGGUGUGGUGCUCUGCUCCCACGACCCUGCCAGCCCAAGUUCAGACGUUCCUUCAGCUGCCACGUGUGAAGGUCCUUGUGGUUGUGAGUAGGAGUACAUGUGCUGAGCCAGAAUGUCACUACUGAAAAUACCUUCUCCUGACUACUCUAGGUACACUUGUAGAGUGAAGAGCUGCAUAAGUUCUUAGCAGAAGAAAGGAGGGGUACAGCACUGCAAUGCCAGGGAAGAAAAGCCCAUCCCCUGUCUUGUGCUGGACAGAAGGGUGAACUCAUGAUAUUGCAGGAUUCUGGAGCUGACAGCAAAUAGCAGCUCACGGACUCAAGGUGUUAAAAAGAUUACAAGACAGAACAUCUCAUACAAGACAGCUCAUCUUAUUCAAGAUUCUUGUAGGAAGAUUUUUGCACUGUGAUUACUGAACAAAUAUAUUUUUCUGCACAAAAGAACCAUUUAAGGUAUUGGACCUGAAGAUGAACUUACUGUGUUUUGACAAUGGCCCUUUACUGAAGUUUGAAUUUCCAGGGCUCCAAUUACACAUAUUUUUGUAAGCCCGUUCAUACUACACAUGAGACUGAGAGAAAGCAAAUGCUCCCUGCUGGGGUGGAAUUUUUGACUUGACUGUUCUCUUAGUGUUCAUGUGAAAGUCAGAGAAGCACUGUGGUUUUGGA